GCCCGUGUAGCUCAACUUGGCAGAGCAGGGGACUCUUAAUCCCAAGGUUCAGGGUUCAAGUCCCUGCGCGGGCACCA
rnacentral:tRNA from 1 species